UACGUAGGCAGCGAGCGUUGUUCGGAGUUACUGGGCGUAAAGCGUGCGUAGGCGGUGUCUUAAGUUUGUUGUGAAAUCUCCCGGCUUAACCGGGAGGGUGCGGCGAAUACUGAGAUGCUGGAGUGCCGGAGAGGUAAGCGGAAUUCCUGGUGUAGCGGUGAAAUGCGUAGAUAUCAGGAAGAACACCCGUGGCGAAGGCGGUUCUCUGGGACGGUACUGACGCUGAGACGCGAAAGCGUGGGGAGCGAACAGG
rnacentral:rRNA from 1 species